rnacentral:lncRNA from 1 species
UCCUCUCUAGCUUCGUAGUCACCUCGAACAUGGCUAACAACUAACUGUGAGUCACUACAGAUCUUCAGAUCCUUUGGAAUUUUGAGUUCAGUGGCUCGGGCUUCAUAUUGAGCUUUAUUGUUGGUAAUUGAAAAUUCAAAGCAUAAGGCACAUUCUAUGAUGCUCCCCUCCAGUCCAACAAGAAUCAACCCUGCUCUUAACCUGACAGAGCUUGACGAUCCAUCCAC